AUUGAACGCUGGCGGCAGGCCUAACACAUGCAAGUCGCGCGGAUCGGCGGACGGGUGAGUAAUGCCUAGGAAUCUGCCUGGUCGUGGGGGAUAACGUCCGGACACGGGCGCUAAUCCCGCAUCCUCUCCGCUUCGCCUAUGUCGGAUUAGCUGUGUGGUGGGGUAAAGGCCUACAAAGGCGACGAUCCGUAACUGGUCUGAGAGGAUGAUCAGUCACACUGGAACUGAGACACGGGCAAGACGCCGACGGGAGGCAGCAGUGGGGAAUAGUGGACAAUGGGCGAAAGCCUGAGCCAGCCAUGCCGCGUGUGUGAAGAAGGUCUUCGGAUUGUAAAGCACUUUAAGUUGGGAGGCGUUACCAACAGAAGAAGCACCGGCUAACUUCGUGCCAGCAGCCGCGGUAAUUC
rnacentral:rRNA from 1 species